GGACUACUGGGGUAUCUAAUCCUGUUUGCUCCCCACGCUUUCGUGCCUGAGUGUCAGGAACGAGCCAGUAGACUGCUUACGCCAUCGGUGUUCCUCCUAAUAUCUACGGAUAUUACCCCUACACUAGGAAUUCCAUCUACCUCUCUCGUCCUCUAGCUUAGCAGUUCAGAUAAUGUGAAUAUGGUUGAGCCACACGCUUUCACUACCUGCUUACUAUGCCACCUACGCAACUCUUUACGCCCAGUAAUUCCGGAUAACGCUUGGAUCCUCCGUAUUACCGCGGCUGCUGGCAC
rnacentral:rRNA from 1 species